rnacentral:rRNA from 1 species
GGCAAACGGGUGCGGAACACGUACAGAACCUUCCUUUAAGUGGGGCAUAGCCCGGAGAAAUCCGGAUUAAUACCCCGUAAUAUUUUGGUGUGGCAUCACAUUAAAAUUAAAGAUUUAUCGCUUAGAGAUGGCUGUGCGGCUGAUUAGGUAGUUGGUGUGGGUAACGGCCCACCAAGCCAACGAUCAGUAACUGGUGUGAGAGCACGACCAGUCACACGGGCACUGAGACACGGGCCCGACUCCUACGGGAGGCAGCAGUAAGGAAUAUUGGUCAAUGGAGGCAACUCUGAACCAGCCAUGCCGCGUGAAGGAUGAAGGCCCUCUGGGUUGUAAACUUCUUUUAUCUGGGACGAAACACUCUUAUUCUUAAGAGCUUGACGGUACCAGAGGAAUAAGCACCGGCUAACUCCGUGCCAGCCGCCGCGG